UGGUCGUCCAAGGGUAUUUUGGUAAUUUGUGGUUGCUUCUGGGCUUCAGUCAGUCAUAAAAUAUGAUCGGCCCGCUUUCUGGCAUCCAUAUCCAUAUCGAUCGAUGUGAAGAGGUCUGCAUCGAUCGACAUACGUUCCUCUUCUCGACAGCUUCCUCUCGCGAGGCAAACUGACCACUCUUCAGUAAAACAUGCAUAACUUCUACUACAGGAUGCUGAUUGACCUCGAACCGGUGUCAUUGGAAAGUAACUCAAAGCUCUAUCUUGUGUCAAAAGCUGGGCUCAAUCUAACGGUUAGAAGGUCUCCAUCCAUAGCUAGACAUCUGACACGUUUGUGCAGUUCUGCACCUCAAAAGACUCCAAAAUCACCAUAUUUCUCCAGAACGUACAUGAACCUGUAAAUACUCUAAAUAGACUCUAUAUAGUAGUAAAUGUAUAUUAAAACACUUAUAAACCAUGGCUAAAAAUGUGUAAAAUCCAUAGUC
rnacentral:lncRNA from 1 species